CGUGAGGGAAAGUUGCAAAGUACUUUGAAGAGAGAGUUAAACAGGGCGUGAAACCGCUAGCUGGUAAACGAGUGGAGCCACGAAGUCGUUUCGUAGAAUAAAGAAUACAAAUUCAAUUGAGGUUGUCGCAAGAUGGCUUCAGUGUACUUUUGUUUAUUCUUCUAUGUAGGCGUACACUGCAACCAAUUAGACGAUCAAUUGUGGAAAUAAUUGAUUAGUAUUAGGAGAAAUCCUGAUAUUUCAAUCAAUAAAAUGCUUAUAUACUAGCUGUAGGUAGCUUAAUUUGAUCCUUGUGAUCCUAUUGAGUGUAUGACAUUUUUGUUAGUAUGAGAACUACAAUUGAAUACUGAUUGGCACAAUGAAAUUCCAUUUGCAAAAAUGGUUCUUAGAUAAUACUACCUAUAUUGUAUAUGUGUACAAGUAUUUAUUAUUAGCACUAAGAUUAGCAGUUUUAAAUUUAGACUAUCUGGCUCUCUUUGAUUUCGGUCAUUGAGGCUUGUGUAGCUUUCUAUCUAAUUGGCUGUUAACUUUGUUAGUGAUCUUGUAUUUGUCAAUGAUAGCAUAUAUGCAAUAAUAGGGCAAGUCAUCUUAUUGGCAGUGAGUAGGUCGGCUUUCCACACGACCCGUCUUGAAACACG
rnacentral:rRNA from 1 species